CCUACGGGAGGCAGCAGUGAGGAAUAUUGGUCAAUGGGCUUACGCCUGAACCAGCCAAGUCGCGUGAGGGAAGACUGCCCUAUGGGUUGUAAACCUCUUUUGUCAGGGAGCAACGCCGGCUACGUGUAGCCGGACUGAGAGUACCUGAAGAAAAAGCAUCGGCUAACUCCGUGCCAGCAGCCGCGGUAAUACGGAGGAUGCGAGCGUUAUCCGGAUUUAUUGGGUUUAAAGGGUGCGUAGGCGGAAUGCCAAGUCAGCGGUAAAAUCGCGGGGCUCAACCUCGCGCCGCCGUUGAAACUGGCGUUCUUGAGUGGGCGAGAAGUAUGCGGAAUGCGGGGUGUAGCGGUGAAAUGCAUAGAUAUCACGCAGAACUCCGAUUGCGAAGGCAGCAUACCGGCGCCCAACUGACGCUGAAGCACGAAAGCGUGGGUAGCGAACAGGAUUAGAUACCCUUGUAGUC
rnacentral:rRNA from 1 species